AUAUUACCUCAUGUUCCAGCAGAUAUUUCCAAAAUCUCUUCACCAAACCAAAUUGUGGCGGAUGUGAAUUGAGCAACGUUUGCUUCUGUAAAAAUGGCAUAUGCUAGUUCGUCGAAAACUAAUGAGUUGCACAGGCAUUUGGAAUAGCUAAGCAGCCGGUGAACAUUGAUUAAGGGCAGUAUGGUAAACCUUCUUACAUAGAUUGGAAGUUUGUGAAGAUGAUAAAAGGUGUGGUGAAGUAUGUGAAAAUCAUACAGAAGUGAUCCCAAACAGAUAGUGGUU